AUCUAUCAGGGUGAAUUUACUGCUACGUUGUUCAGUCAAGCAACGGAUAGAAAAAAUAGGUAUGGUAAGAAAUCUCAUACUGAAUUAAGGGUAGGAGAUUUAGUGAGUAUAAAAACAGAUUUUAUAAAGCCUUUUGCUUACCCGCUAGGUAUCAUCGUACAAAUUGAAAAGAAUGACCUGGAUGAAGUAACAAGCGCUAGUGUACGUAAAUCCAACGGAGAAAUUGUAAGACGACACGUUGAUAAUUUGAUAUUCCUAACAGAUACUUCCAUCAACGUUGACAGUAACUCUGUUUCUCCUGAAUUUGUUCCUGAAACCUGUACAGUUUCCUACAAGUCUGAGAGAUCAGCUGCUCGUAAGUGUCGAGAACGGAACAAGGCACUAAUUGAGCAACACAAGGUUUAAUGUGAUUGUAGUGUUGUAAAAUUUAUUGUAUAACUUUUGUUUUUUUAUUUAUUCUAGUUUCACAAUUCCAAGAAAUUGCUCACCCGGCCCCGCCAGUGUACAAAAAUAUUAAUACAAAUAAAACAUUUUUCAAGAAAUUGAAUCUCAAACUUUAUUUAAAUUAAAUAAUUAAUCAAUUGAGUUAAGUAACCCCUUGAAUUUGUACGUGCAUGGACUUCCAUGUUUCCACGGUCCUUGGAUACGUCACUAAAUGACAGACGUCAGACCUAACAAGGACGCGGAAAAAGCUCGGGUAAGACAGUACUAAAGUACCGCUACGACCCUUCACUACCACCACCGUCGCCAGAGACAAGACGGAAGGUUAUCGGUUACGAAAUAUUUUGAGGAUUCGAUAGUUGGCUGGUCGGGUGAUCAAUUUCUACUUUAUUCACUUUUUAUUGAUGGAUCGUUUCCCGGAGGUACUGAUGUGGUAAUGCUGCUCAAGAGACUUCCUGUUGAAUCACGAGCCUUCGUAAGGUGUACGAAAUUGAACAUGAGAAAAUAAGCUCAUCGUGUGGGGGUUCGAGGUGAAGGACAAUACAUGGUGGAGGACGACGGCUGAGUUCCAAGAUCUUCGCUGCUGGCUGCCUAACUCGGGUUGGAGUUUCGCUAAAAGGGGUGGAACCUUGGAGUGAAGAGAGGUCAAGAGCUAUCGUCUUGGAACUAGCAGGACACUUUCGUCAAUGUAGACUGGGGAUUAAUUACUUAAUUUCAUGAAGCUAUACCCUUCAAUAACUUCAGUCUUGAAUCAAGUUUUAUAUUAAAGUAUUUAAUUUU